CCCGCCCCAUCCGCUUGGAAACUCCAGAGUGACAGCCCAGUGAACUUUAAGAGGUGUCUUCACUGCUGGGAGGUUAAUGAUUUGCAAGGUGACGCAGGAAGGGCUAAAGGCCUUUCCAAGGUUCACUGGCUGCGGAAUAUGUGGAAGUGACAGCAGCAUCCUGCACCUCACCCCCCCCCUUCCGUGACAUUUGCAUCUGCACCUGAACAUCCAGAGCCGUUCUAGGCCUAUAGCAGUGAAGAUGAUAGAGAUCACAGAAAUCCAGAGGAUUGGUGUGGGACUUGUGGGCUUCGGGGUGUUUUUCCUCCUUUUCGGUAUGCUAUUGUACAUGGAUUCGGUGCUUCUGGCCUUUGGAAAUAUCCUGUUCCUGUCUGGUCUGGCCAUUAUCAUUGGACUAAGAAGAACCUUUGGUUUCUUCUUCCAGAGGCAGAAGCUUAAGGGAACCAGUUUCUUUUUGGGGGGCAUAAUUAUCGUCCUGCUUCGGUGGCCUGUCCUAGGCAUGCUUCUGGAGACCUAUGGCUUCAUUAACCUCUUCAGGAGUUUUUUCCCAAUUGCCUUUGGGUUUCUGGGAUCAUUGGUGAACAUCCCAUUUUUGAGCAAGGUAAGAAAAAAUUUCGUGUGUCAUGUGCUCUCAGGGGAGCAUGAUUCUAUCUGGCUGGUUUGGUUCCCUUAAGCUUUACAACAGGGUUGGGGAACCUGCAGGCUUCCAGGUACAACAUACAACUCCCAUUGUCCCCUGAGUGGCUGGGGCUGAUGGGAACUGGAGUCCAACAAUAGGACUCCACUUCCAUUUGUGCCAUGAUCUGUAGGCACAGGUCUGUGAUUUAAAAAAAACCAAAAAACCUCACUGUAUACUGUUGAACUGGAACAAACAUCAGUCAAGUCCUCUGAAGGCUGAUGUUUGUUCUGAUUCAGUGGUAAACAGUGAGUUUUCGCAGGGAAAGAGGUGGGACCAAAACAACAACAACAACAACCCAUGCCUGGAAAUAAUAGAAUCAUAGAAUUGUAGAGUUAUAUAAUCCUUCAGAGAAAUGUGAUUGGUUACAAAUGACUUCUUGUUGCAGCUGUUCCAGAAACUUGGAGACACUACCUCUAUGGUAUAGCCUAGAGAAGUGGCUUCCUGCCACAGACAACUUCCCCUCCUACAAGCAAAUAGACCUGUUUUAUAGACUACUGUGUUGUUUUCACAGCGAUGUGCCAUUGAGACCUCCUGCCCAGUUCAUACCUCUGAAGACCCCUGUGUGAUCACCUGCAGGAGUGUGCAAGGUUAUUAGCAGGUUCAUAUCCCAGUAGGAAUUGCCUAGAGGUGCUGUUUAUAAGAGCAAUUACAACUGAACCGCUGGUUCAUAGAGAUGGUCAUGCUGGAGCUAGACAAUGGCUAUGGACAAUGGCUGAAUGAGCAUCGGUACCUGGGCACAUCCGUGUUCACAAGAUUUCUUAGCAACAAACCAACAUUUAGGACUUGUCAAUUUGCUCCAAGGAAGACACAUCCCUUGGGGUCUUCACCUUCCAAACAGCUGCAGUAGAGUGAGUAAGCAAAGUACCCAGUUUCUUUUGUUUUGUUGACAUGCUGUACCCACUGAUAUUUUUCAUCCCUUGGGAUGCCUGUCAUAAUGGAUCAGAAAUUUGAAAUUGAAGGGAUUAAAAACACAUAAAUUGAAAGGCAUAAUUUGAACACUAUGACACUAGAACAAUUUGUGUUAUCUCACUAGCCAAAUUUCAACAAUAGGAAGGAGGAAAAUGAAUAUAAGGGUGAGAAGUGUUGUUCUGAGUUUUCUGUCAAUUUCAAAAUCCCAGUAAAGAAAAUGGUUGGGGGAGGGGAUGAGUUCGCAAAAUAACUUGCAGUUCAAAAAGACACAUACACAGCUUGUACUUUGGAGCAAUGUCUAUUUAACAGAACGUGAACGCUAUUUGAUUCCACCAUGUGCAUAUUUUCUAUUUUUUUAUUUAACAAAACAUAAAACAUGUUUUAAUGAUAUCAAAUAAAUCAUGUUUCUCAAGA